rnacentral:rRNA from 1 species
GAUGAACGCUGGCGGCGUGCUUAACACAUGCAAGUCGAACGGAAAGGCCCAAGCUUGCUUGGGUCCUCGAGUGGCGAACGGGUGAGUAACACGUGGGUGAUCUGCCCUGCACUUCGGGAUAAGCCUGGGAAACUGGGUCUAAUACCGGAUAGGACCACAUUUUGGAUGGUGUGUUGGAAAGUUUUUCGGUGUGGGAUGAGCUCGCGGCCUAUCAGCUUGUUGGUGGGGUAAUGGCCUACCAAGGCGUCGACGGGUAGCCGGCCUGAGAGGGUGUACGGCCACAUUGGGACUGAGAUACGGCCCAGACUCCUACGGGAGGCAGCAGUGGGGAAUAGUGCAAAAUGGGCGCAAGCCUGAUGCAGCGACGCCGCGUGGGGGAUGACGGCCUUCGGGUUGUAAACUCCUUUCGCUAGGGAAGAAGCGCAAGUGACGGUACCUGGAGAAGAAGCACCGGCUAACUACGUG